rnacentral:rRNA from 1 species
AUUGAACGCUGGCGGAAUGCUUUACACAUGCAAGUCGAGCGGCAGCGCGGGGGCAACCCUGGCGGCGAGCGGCGAACGGGUGAGUAAUACAUCGGAACGUGUCCUUGAGUGGGGGAUAGCUCGGCGAAAGCCGGAUUAAUACCGCAUAAGCUCUGAGGAGGAAAGCGGGGGAUCGCAAGACCUCGCGCUAUUGGAGCGGCCGAUGUCAGAUUAGGUUGUUGGGGGGUAAAGGCCUACCAAGCCGACGAUGGGUAGCCGAUCUGAGAGGAUGACCGGCCACACUGGGACUGAGAUACGGCCCAGGCUCCUACGGGAGGCAGCAGUGGGGAAUAUUGGACAAUGGGCGAAAGCCUGAUCCAGCAAUGCCGCGUGUGUGAAGAAGGCCUGCGGGUUGUAAAGC